rnacentral:rRNA from 1 species
CCUACGGGUGGCAGCAGUGAGGAAUAUUGGUCAAUGGACGCAAGUCUGAACCAGCCAUGCCGCGUGAAGGAUGAAGGCGUUUGCGUUGUAAACUUCUUUUAUCUGGGAAGCGGUACCAGAGGAAUAAGCACCGGCUAACUCCGUGCCAGCAGCCGCGGUAAUACGGAGGGUGCAAGCGUUAUCCGGAUUCACUGGGUUUAAAGGGUGUGUAGGCGGAUAUUUAAGUCAGCGGUGAAAUCUCCAGGCUCAACCUGGAAACUGCCAUUGAUACUAUUUAUCUUGAAUAUCGUUGAGGUAGGCGGAAUAUGUCAUGUAGCGGUGAAAUGCUUAGAGAUGACAUAGAACACCAAUUGCGAAGGCAGCUUACUAAACGAUAUUGACGCUGAGGCACGAAAGCGUGGGGAUCAAACAGGAUUAGAUACCCUUGUAGUC